UUCAAUUGUAGUGAAUUUCAAAAUUCAGAGUAUAUUUGUUAAAUAAAUAAUUUAGGGUACAAAUGUAAGAAAAUGUAAAGUUUGUGAUUUUUUUGAACAUUUUCACAAUUGGAAUUAACGAUGGAAUAGAUGGCAGAGUGCAAUUGUAAAGAAGUUCAAAGUUUAUGGUAUAUUUGUUAAAAAAAAGUUUGGGUAGAAUUAUGAAAAAGUCAAAAUUCAGGAUUUUUUGGACAUUAUCCCUUUUUUUUUCCUUUCUUGGGAGUGGUUGUGAGAGUAUGGGGAAGAAUGAGAUUAAGAAAGACAAGAAGAUAAAGAUUCUAGAGUGCGCCCAAGUCUUUUACCAUAACUCCCAAGAACUUAAUCUUCAGUAAUGUCAUUGAGAAGUUUUAAGACUUUUAAGGGUCUAAGGUUCUAUAUGGCUUUUUGAAAGAGUGAAACAGAAGGCAUUUGUCCAAUGCUUCCUGCAUUGUGCACUUUGGUUGCUGGCAAUCUACCUUGGAAGCUCAUCGAUUAGUACUUGCCAUGGCUAGCUAACCUUUUUUGUGGAAUGCUAUGUGCAUGGUUGUGGAUUUAGAAAAAUUAUAAAAAAUAUGCAUAUAAAAAAAUAAAGUUUCAUGUAUUAAGUUUUUAACAUCUAAAAAUUUAGUAGGAUGUAAUUAAGCCAAUCUAACCAACAUUUUUAUGUGAAAAGAAGAGCUACUAAAAUCAAGCAAGUCAUACAAAUGAGCGAUUUAUUUUUAUAUUUAUCAAAAAGAGGGGUCAAUAAUUAAAUUUAUGAGGGUUCAAUUUAAACAUUUCAUACAUAAAUGUACAAAAUGUUUAAAUUGACCCAUUUUUUUUAAGGUGGACCUGCCAGUGUAUAUGCAUGAAAAUUCUGCAACUCAAGAACUCAUUGUCCU
rnacentral:misc_RNA from 1 species